CGACAUGAUCAGCAGGGAGCGCCACUCGAACGCUUGGAGGUAAACCCCAUAAGGCUGAGCUUGGUGUGCCGUUUACAACCAUAGCAUUUGGUCUUCUGCUUUCCAAGUCUCACAGCAUCUCCACCACUUACAGCCACGAUGAAGCGUGUCAGGAUCUCACACCAACAUUAUGGAGUCUCCCUCUGGAAGGCUUUGGGAAGCUAUUCUCUAUCUGUUUUAACGCAUACAUAUUAAGAAUGAUGGUUUAGAUAUUUACCAGAGAAAAAUGGAAGGAGUGUAUUUUUGAUAAAACAUUUGACUAUACAUGACAUUAAAAAUUCCUUUGAG
rnacentral:lncRNA from 1 species